rnacentral:rRNA from 1 species
UCCCAGACUCCUACGGGAGGCAGCAGUGGGGAAUAUUGGGCAAUGGGCGCAAGCCUGACCCAGCAACGCCGCGUGAAGGAAGAAGGCUUUCGGGUUGUAACUUCUUUUGUCAGGGACGAAGCAAGUGACGGUACCUGACGAAUAAGCCACGGCUAACUACGUGCCAGCAGCCGCGGUAAUACGUAGGUGGCAAGCGUUAUCCGGAUUUACUGGGUGUAAAGGGCGUGUAGGCGGGGAAGCAAGUCAGAGGUGAAAACCACGGGCUCAACCUGUGGCCUGCAUUUGAAACUGUGUUUCUUGAGUGCUGGAGAGGCAAGCGGAAUUCCGUGUGUAGCGGUGAAAUGCGUAGAUAUACGGAGGAACACCAGUGGCGAAGGCGGCUUACUGGACAGUAACUGACGUUGAGGCUCGAAAGCGUGGGGAGCAAACAGGAUUAGAGACCCCAGUAAC